CAAUAGCGUAUAUUAAAGUUGUUGCAGUUAAAAGGCUCGUAGUUGGAUUUCUGGUGGGAGCGAUCGGUCUGGCGCUUAGCGCGAGUACUUGCAUCGUCUCCGGCCAUCCUUGGGGAGAGUCUGUCUGGCAUUAAGUUGUCGGGCAGAGGAUCCUCAUCGUUUACUGUGAAAAAAUUAGAGUGUUCAAAGCAGGCUUAUGCCGUUGAAUAUAUUAGCAUGGAAUAAUAAGAUAGGACUUUGGUACUAUUUUGUUGGUUUGCGCACCAAAGUAAUGAUUAAUAGGGACAGUUGGGGGUAUUCGUAUUCCGUUGUCAGAGGUGAAAUUCUUGGAUUUACGGAAGACGAACUACUGCGAAAGCAUUUACCAAGGAUGUUUUCAUUAA
rnacentral:rRNA from 1 species